rnacentral:rRNA from 1 species
ACUCCUACGGGAGGCAGCAGUGGGGAAUAUAGGACAAUGGGGGGAACCCUGAUCCAGCCAUGCCGCGUGUGUGAAGAAGGCCUUAUGGUUGUAAAGCACUUUAAGCGAGGAGGAGGCUACUGAGACUAAUACUCUUGGAUAGUGGACGUUACUCGCAGAAUAAGCACCGGCUAACUCUGUGCCAGCAGCCGCGGUAAUACAGAGGGUGCGAGCGUUAAUCGGAUUUACUGGGCGUAAAGCGUGCGUAGGCGGCUUUUUAAGUCGGAUGUGAAAUCCCCGAGCUUAACUUGGGAAUUGCAUUCGAUACUGGGAAGCUAGAGUAUGGGAGAGGAUGGUAGAAUUCCAGGUGUAGCGGUGAAAUGCGUAAAGAUCUGGAGGAAUACCGAUGGCGAAGGCAGCCAUCUGGCCUAAUACUGACGCUGAGGUACGAAAGCAUGGGGAGCAAACAGGAUUUGAUACCGUGGUAGUCCAUGCCGUAAACGAUGUCUACUAGCCGUUGGGGCCUUUGAGGCUUUAGUGGCGCAGCUAACGCGAUAAGUAGACCGCCUGGGGAGUACGGUCGCAAGACUAAAACUCAAAUGAAUUGACGGGGGCCCCCACAAGCGGUGGAGCAUGUGG